rnacentral:sRNA from 1 species
GAAAAUAACAUAUAAUAAUAAAAAUGCUGAAGAAAAUUUUUUUUUUUUCUUUAACGUAUUAUUAAAUUUUUUAUGAAGAUUUUUUAAAAAAAUUUCAAAUGUUUUAUAAUUGUUAGGAUCUUAAUAUUAUUUGAUUUAUUUAUAAAUAUAUAUAUAUAUAAUAUAUAUUUUUACCAUAUAAAUAUAUUUACGUAUUAUUAUUUUGCUUUUACUCAUGUAUUAAUUAUUUUAUAAUAUAUUCACAUGAAAAAAGUUUUUUAUAAUUGAAUAAUUCAUACAAUAAUAAAAAGAACUCCUUUUUUGCCAUUUUUUUUCAGUACGUUAUAAGUGCUAUUUUUCAAAAUUGGAAAUAAAAAAUAAAGCAAAAUCACAAAAAAAAUAUAUAUUAUGUUAAUAAUUGAUUACCCAUUUAACAAUUUAUUGUACCCCAAUAGGCAUGUUAAGUAAUAUAAGUCGGGGUAUACAUAUAUAAUAUAUAAUAAUAUAUGCAUUAUUUUUUUUAAUACGUUAUUAUUAUAUCGUUUAUAUUAAAAUGAGCAUAAAAUUGAACUACAUGAAUAUGCCUUUUUUUCAUGAAGUCCAAUUUAAUAUUAAAAAUAUAAUACGUAUGAUUUAUCAUUCGAGAAACAAUUGUGAAAGGGAUAUAAAAACAGAAAGUAUUUUUUUUUUAUAUAUAUUCAAGUUAAUAUGUCCUCAUGAGGGUAAAUAAAUAUAAUGUAAAAUAUGCUUUUACUUUAAAUAUUUUUAAUUUUUAAAAUUUGAGAUUAUAAAGAUAUA